rnacentral:lncRNA from 1 species
GUCUUCCCUCGCGCGUAGAGAGUGACUCGAAGGACCCCCUCUCCUCUUCGCUGCAGCCCCUCCCCAUGCACGCUGGGAGACUCUUGGAGGGGAUAAGGUGGGGCCCGGAGAGGAAGAGAAGACAAUCGGAUUGGAUAGGCAGCUGCCAUGGCAACUGGAGGCUGUGGUUAUAUUGUCAUAGUAACCGAUGUGUGCGGACAGGGUCACCCUCCCCUUGGCCAAUGGAUUCCCAGGAAACCACCCAGGGUUCCCCGUUGGCUUCCCUUCCAUCUAAAGGCCUCCCCCAAGUUAGGAAUCGAUAUAGUUCUCCCCGGUGGUGAAGUCCACUUCCUCCUCCCUUCCCACUUCCCACAGCAACUGGGGGGACACCCCGAGGCAUUCACCAUGGGCUUUUCCACCCGCCUGCGAGCGGGAACCACCUCCGUAGUUUCCUCUCAGAGCCGGGCGUGGAGAGGGCUGGGCCUGCGAAGAGGAUGCAUGGCCUGGAGGCUGGCGGGCGGCGGGCUGGAGUCGGGAGGGCGAGGCGACAGCGCCAAGCGGCGAGGAAGGGCAAGGGGUUUCCCCACAACUGCCUUGGGCUCUGGGAGGCGGGAUCCCGCCUGGACGGGGUCCCUGAGGGAGGAGAGCGGCACACGACAGCCGCGAUGCCUUCCCUGCCGACGGGGAUAGCCGACUUCUGGCGAGUCGACCCCUCCCCCAAAUCCACCCCACCCGCGUACUCCCUCCUGACCUAGCUGUCGCGAGCCUGCCGCGAGGAGGCCAGGGUGAGGGUGGGAACACAUCCUAGAAGGCUAACACGUGGUUUUCUAUCAUUUAAGCCGGGGACAAGCCGGAAGGCUGACUAGCGCCAUCACUCUGAUAGGCACCCCGCAGUGGGGAUCCUGCUUGAUUAUUAAAGGCAGACCUCCAAGUUCCUCCCUGCUCUGCAACCUUUCUCUUCUCACGGGUCUGCAGUGUUUUAAAAGUCGUCAUUCUGUGUCGUUGAGUUAGAGAGGAAAACAUCGGAUAAAAGAGGAUCAAGAAGAACGAACCCUAGAUACAUCUGUCUGGUGAAAGGAGUCUAGGAAAAGAAGUUUCAUUCUUAGAACAAAUCUUUUUGGAUAUUUAUUAUGUGUGUUUUGUGUCAGGUUUCGGGCCAAAAAGCUGAAAUAAAGAACGAAGUCAAUAAUAAUAUGAAGUGUAUGAGAAAUAGCUGGAAAAUUCAUCAUCCAUGACUUGAAGAAAUUGACGUUUUACAAGUUAUAUUUUCGGUGAAGAGGCACUUUCAAGAUCCUUCUCUGAGACCUGCACCAAUAAGACUAUACCAAUGUUCAGUUGAAACAUCAGACACUGUUCUGGUUAUGAUGGACACCACAGUGAAAGAGACCUGGUCCCUGCCUUGAGGAAACCCAACUGCUGGUAGAGAGCUCAGAGUAAUGAUUAGGAUGCAAUAUGAGGGAUGCAGUAAUUGGGGCAAUUCCUAUGGCUCUAAUGCAGUAUCAGGCACUAAUACUUAUGUAUGAGCAAAAAUUGAUGAGGAUGAUCAUGUUUUAAUACACCAGUACAGACCAAAAUGCCUCUUUGGUAAUUUUCAGAUCUACUUCUGGGAACCGUCACAGCCUGAGAAAGAUGGCAUGCCCUGAAUGGAAUUCACAGAGAAUUAUUUUAAGUCAUGCUACUGGCCCCGCCCAGUUAUGUAACAACUUGCAUUUCCUCAAUUCUCUGGAAUGUGGCCAGUCAGGAACUUCCACAUUUGGUUUUUUUUUUUUCCCCCAUUUGUGGGUAAGAAAGUAAAAGAGGCAGGAAAACUGAAUUGAGAAAGAAGAAAGAAUAGGGGAAGAGAGAAAGAAAAAAGAAAACCAUGAAGCCUGGAAGAGGAGAAAGAAGAGAUAGAUGAGCAAAGAAGCACAUUGCCUGGUGGUAGUAAUAGUUGUCAGACACCCAUCUAUUAUAAUCUGUUUUCCAUGGGAGAUUUUAAGAAGAGGCUAGAUCCCCAGUCUGUCUUAAAAUCAAGAAAAGGGACUCUGUUGCCUCUAAAGUAUACUUCCAGACUCAGCAAUCUCUAAAUUCUGAGUGGGGCAUCCCUAGUUUUGCUGCCUAAAAUCUAUGACAGUUGGAAAUGAUUCCAUUUAAGAUCCAGUUCAAGAAGCUAUACACCCUGAGGAACUUUAUAUUGCCAUUUAGAGGACCGAUAUUCUCCAGAUUGCUUGAGCCCAGGAGUUUGAGACCAGCCUGGGCAACAUGGCAAAACUCCAUCUCUACCAAAAAAAAAAAAAAAACAAAAUUAGCUGGGCAUGGUGGUACACAUCUGUAGAACCAGCUACUCUGGAGGCUGAGCUGAGAGAACCCCUUGAGCCUAGGAGAUGGAGGUUGCUGUGAGCCAAGAUCGUGCCACUGCACUCAAGCCUGGGUGACAGAGCCAGACCCUAUCUCAUAAAUAAAUAAAUGUCAAUAUUCUCCAAAA